UACACUCUCCAUUUGGAGCAGAGCUUCUUCGGCAGCCCCAGGUCUCCCGGGAUCUUCCUCGGUGUCCUGCGGAGGCUCUGGCUCCAGCGUGGGCUCCAGCGCAGGCUGGGCUUCCGGCUGGGCUUCAGCGCUCCGGCCAGGCCCAAGGCGAGGCGGCUUGACCGGGGUGGGCGGUGGCGCUGCAGGGCCUUUCCGGCCCGAAAGGGCCCUUCGGAGGCUCUGUACCUUCUGCAAUCCGGUGCGCCGCAGCCGCUGGGCCCUGGACUCCACCGGCUCCUCGUCCGAGCUCUCUCCAACUUCGGCCUCCAGCUGCUCUGGGCCCAGCUCGGACUGGUCCGCCGGGCCCAAGGGCUCUGGUGCCUUCUGGAAAGCGCUGGCUGGGACUUCACCCUCCUCCUGCAUGUGACGGACACAGCACUGAUCCUGGCAGCUCCUUACCCCCAGCAGCCCGAAACUCACUCCUUAAUUACACAAGGGAAACCUUUUACCUCCGCAGCCAGAGUCUGGGGGGAAAGGCAGGCGUGGGAAGCACUAACUCCCUCUCUGGAUAUCUGGAACAAGGAGGACCUUAAACUUAACAAUAAAGCCAAUGAUGGUUCUACCAGUCUCCCCAAAGCCUCAAGUUUAAAAGCCAUAUGAACUGGCUGAUAGUGGAAAAUGGAAGCCAUGAGGAAAUCAGAUUAGAGUACUACCUGGUGAAGCCUGGAGGACCUACCAAGAAAAGCAAACUUGGAUCUUUGCAAGGUUAGAAGAACGAAUGGGAUCCAAGAAAAAGACUGGUCAUAUUCAACGGCUAAGAGCGUUGGAGAAGGCCUGUGGAGUCUCAGCAGGUCAGGUCCAUGACUCAUGAGUAGACACCUGUGUUUCUACUGCCUGGUGCCAUAAUCAUAAACAAGAGUAAUCAGCAAAUGCCUUUCCUUUCUCCUGCUGAUGUUUUGCCCGUACUCAGACCCCUUGACUUCUUAGCUUCUACCCAAAGUGAGCUUGUCAUCAAAGUUCUCCAAAAAUCUGCAGUGUUCUCUUGAGCAAAUCUGCUUCCAAGACUAUAGCGCUCUGAUGCAUUGAGAUGACAGCAAGCGGCAUUUUUCAGUCCUGUUACCCAUAUGGCUGCUACCACUGCAUCCUGUUAAAUAAUGUCUUCAACCCAAGAAACCUGCUUCCUAGGGAAGUUUCUCUCUCUCUGCAUUUGUUCCCACUAGAGAAUGACCAUCACCAGAUUCCUGAACUGAAAAUGCUGUUGACACUUUGGAAACUCGGGCCUCUAUUAAUAGGGUGACCAACUAUCCUGGUUUACCUUGAGUACAGGAUUUUCAAUGCUAAAACCAGAAAAACCAGGAUGGUUGGUCAUCUGCCUCAGACCUAAUAAAUACCAGUCAAUAAUUCAGCCAUGAGCUUUCUUAAGACACUGUCUUUUCUUGACUGUUGAAUAGUCUAGGACUUGAGUAGCAGCUCUUUCUGCUACUGGACACUUGUUUUACUACCCUAUUUCUCUAGAUUUUAUUUUGUGGCUAAUAAUUAAGACAUAAAAUCAUGGGUUCUGGUUAUGCCAAAGCACUCACUCUUCAAAAGUUUCCAUCCAGAGUUGGAUAAUCCCACACAGAAGGUGUUCUUUCAACAGACCAGCAUCCAAUAGACCCAAUGCAGCAUUUUUCUUCCUGGUUCCACAUUAAUACAUCCUAUCUCUGCUAUGCUUAGGUCCCUGAUUUAUAAAUAUUUCAGACAUAUUUUCUCAGGACACAGGGAGUACUUAAACUUCCACAUAGCAGAGAUACGACAUACAAUAAGCUGUUAUCUGGAAACUCCUAGUGAUGCUUUGAGUACUUUACAGUAAUCUUUCUGGUCUUCCUCUCAACCCCAUUAAGUUUUUCUGUAACUAGCUGGUGUAUCUGUCUCCAUCUUUAAGGAAUAAGUCCCUAUUUGCUCAUGCUAUAAUCUCCCUCAUGCUCUCCGUCCCUCCUUCCCUCUCCUUCUCUCUUUCUGUCUCUCUCUCUCUCCACCCUGAUUGUGAGAUGCUACACCUUAAUAGUUUUCUAUACCUAGAUCCCUUUUGAAGGAGUAAUUUCAGCCAUCACUGAAAUCUAUGCUUUUUUAUCUUGUUAGAUUUAUUUAGGACCUAAUGACUGUUUCUGAGCUAAUAAUAACGCAAUCAGCUCAUAUUUUUCUGAUACUCUAAGAGCAAUUACAUCUAGUUGCAUCACCUUUUCCUUUUUUAUUCAUGUAUCUUAGGCUUCUCAAGAUAUGAGACUAGCACUUGAGCCUGAGAUAAGCCUUAAGAAUUCCAGGAUAGUCUCUCCAUAGUUCCCUUUCUUGGAUAAAGUCAUUUCAAAACAUCUUAGUGGAUCAGAUUUGGAGCAGCCUACUUACACUGGUGAAUACCACAACUAAUAAAUAAUUGUUCUGCACCCCACCCACAUCUAAAGGAUUCAGGGUGUCUUUUACAGAUAUAGGACUCUCCUUUCUCUGUUUCUCUUCUCUCUCUUCUCCUUGAUUAAAGCUUUGCUUCAGCUGUCCCUGCUCACUACGGCACUGCACCUCACCAGCAUCUUCAUGGCCCUCACAUGGCUCAUGUGCAUAUCCUAACUCUGAUACUAAGGGAGGAGACCACCCCUCAUAUUGUCUUAUGCCCAAUUUCUGCCUCCAAAGAAAGAAGAAGUAAAAACUAAAAGGCAGAAAUGAAAUCCACAAGCAGACAGCCCGGCGCCACACCCUGGGCCUGGUAGUUAAAGAUCGACCCCUGACCUAAUCGGUUAUUUGCAUAAGAAAAGCACUGUGAAGAUCCCUGUCCUGUUCUGUUCCAUUCUAAUUACCGGUGUAUGCAGCCCCCAGUCAUGUACCCCUGCUUGCUCAAUCGAUCACGACCCUCUCACGUGGACCCCCUUAGAGUUGUGGGCCCUUAAAAGGGACAGGAAUUGCUCACUCGGGGAGCUUGGUUGUUGGAGAUGUGAGUCUUGCUAAAGCUCCCAGCCGAAUAAAGCCCUUCCUUCUUA
rnacentral:lncRNA from 1 species